UACGUAGGUGGCAAGCGUUGUCCGGAUUUACUGGGCGUAAAGAGCGCGCAGGCGGUCGGAUAAGUCGAAUGUGAAAGCCCCCGGCUCAACUGGGGAGGGUCAUUCGAUACUGUUCGACUCGAAGGCAGGAGAGGGAAGUGGAAUUCCCGGUGUAGUGGUGAAAUGCGUAGAUAUCGUGAGGAACACCAGUGGCGAAGGCGAGUCCCUGGACAACACCUGACACUGAGGCACGAAAGCUAGGGGAGCAAACAGG
rnacentral:rRNA from 1 species